CUUCUUUCUUGCCAAAAAUCUCUCCCUCUUUCUCCUUGUGGAAAGAAAGAUAAAAAGAAGUUUUUAUAUGGUUCAAAGGUCUGCCCUAGAAUGGGUAAAAAGGUAGAAGAUUCUGGAGAAAGUGAUGUAUUAAAUCAGAGGAACGAAAGUGCCAGGUCAGCCAUUUUUAGUAAAACGACACAAGCUGAAUCGGUUGUGUCACGCCUUGUGUCGCAGGUUGUGAAACAGUCUGCCCGAGAAAAACUGCAUAUUUGACAGUCGACACAACCUGUGACACAAGCUAUGUUGCAAGUUGUGUAACUUUCGGCCCAUUUAACUCAACUUCAAAAUUUUGCAAUUCAACUUUAAUUUCUUCCAAAUGGCUGCUCUGAUCAAAAUACACCAAAAUUCUCCAAAUUUAACCUAAAUGAUGAUAUAAAAUGCAU
rnacentral:misc_RNA from 1 species